rnacentral:lncRNA from 1 species
GUUAGGAUGUGAAACACACAUUAUACUAUCAGCUGUGUCAGAGUUGUUGAACUUGAAGGUCGAGUUUAAUAUGACACUCAAUUGUUAUGAUAGGAUGGUAAUAAAAAUAAAAAAAAUACUAUCGAAGGAUGAGAAGCUUGUUGAGAGCUUCCAUGUUCGAAAAAAAUGGUGAAAAGAUUGGGCAUGAGAUAUGAGAAGAUAGAUGUAUACUGUAAUGGUUGCCUAUUUUUUCAUAAAGAGGACCAAC